CAGUCGCCGCGGUAAUACGUAGGGUGCGAGCGUUAAUCGGAAUUACUGGGCGUAAAGCGUGCGCAGGCGGUUAUAUAAGACAGAUGUGAAAUCCCCGGGCUCAACCUGGGACCUGCAUUUGUGACUGUAUAGCUAGAGUACGGUAGAGGGGGAUGGAAUUCCGCGUGUAGCAGUGAAAUGCGUAGAUAUGCGGAGGAACACCGAUGGCGAAGGCAGUCCCCUGGACCUGUACUGACGCUCAUGCACGAAAGCGUGGGGAGCAAACAGGAUUAGAUACCCCAGUAGUCCCUGUCUCUUAUAA
rnacentral:rRNA from 1 species